rnacentral:siRNA from 1 species
UUUGUUGAAAGCCAAUGGACCUA